rnacentral:lncRNA from 1 species
CAAAAUCCAGAUCCCUCACCACGUGACCCUGGUUUAGAUCAUUCCAUGUGGGGACACAUAUGGAUAGGGAAGUACAUUUUUUCAUAUAUAAAUUGAAAGUAUUAAAAUAAACAUGUAUUUUAUAUGUACAUUGAAAUAAAAUAAUAUUGAUUUUACAUAGACAACUUCUCAAAUUAUAUAUAUAAUAUAUUAAAAUGAAAAUUACCAAUUCCUUCUGGCUUGAUCCCCUGCCUUGUCUUUGCUCCCUCAUAUGUGUUCAGUCAUCCCUCAAGCUGGCUUGCCCCUGAAAGACCAAGUAACCAGAGAGAAACUUCUCUAAAUCUCAAAUUACAAUAAUCCAGGAUUUAAGAAGCAAAAUGGUACCAUUACUGCAGAUUGUAACUCUGGAGAAAUAGGUCAGAGCUGCAGUUCAUCUCACCACUGCUACCAACAAAUGAGGUCACCAUUUGCUUUCUUUUACUGUGUUGUUGCUUUAAAAGAAAAGAGCUUAUUUUUCUGUAUUGAUAAAGGUAAUGAAUUCCCAGGCAGCAACACGAGAAGAGAUAAGAGCAGGAAUUAAAUCUCUGUCUUAUGUGGCCUUGGGUAUCCAGUCCCACACAACACAGGCACAGGCUCUUUUUAAGAUUUCUUUUGCAAUCACAAACACUGUUCCCAUUCGGGUGCACACAAUGUGCAUGCAAACCUAACAGCAUUUUCCAAAUAGCCUCAGUGGAAAGGAUGAACAGUGACAGAUUUAUGAUGGUGCAUGAAAGAAACAUGAAGCAUUACCAUUUUCCCUCUACUGGAGGCAGACUGGGCAGAUGAAGAUGACUGGUGUUCCUUAUGUGCCACAGGGCUGGAGAGGAAAGCUCUGAGCUGAAGGCAAAGGGAAUGAGGAGGAGCUGGGAAUAGCAGGCUUGGUUAUCUGAUACCUGCAACCAUUCUGGGGGAACCACCACCAAAGGACAGCUGUCACUCGGAAUAACCACGGCAUUUGGGGCACUUCCCCGAAACAGGCAGUGAGAUUAGACCAUACAAUUACAGAACAAACACACAUUGUAUCUGCUGGAGCUCUUUACAGCCAUCUUUAUUUGAUCUACUUAUGACCCAUCUCAAUUGCUGCACUUGGAAAGAAUAAUUAUUGUCCCAAAAGCUACAGUUUUGUUUUCUCUUUUAUUAUUUUCCCCCAGAUAUCCUGCUCUUCCUUCUCUCCUUUCUUUUUUAAUGUAAAAGGACUCUAACAGCCCUACCAGCUGCAGAAAUGGAGAAACCAAAGGAAUAAAAGCAUUUAUAUUCAUUCUCUCUCUUUGCA